AGAGUUUGAUCAUGGCUCAGAAUGAACGCUGGCGGCGUGCUUAACACAUGCAAGUCGCACGAGAAAGCCUUGGCUUGCCAGGGCGAGUAAAGUGGCGCACGGGUGAGUAACGCGUGGGUAAUCUACCCCCGAAUUUGGGAUAACACUUCGAAAGGGGUGCUAAUACCGGAUAACAUCAUAAUUUCCUCGGAGGUUAUGAUCAAAGAUGGCCUCUACAUGUAAGCUAUUGUUUGGGGAUGAGCCCGCGUACCAUUAGCUAGUUGGUAGGGUAAAGGCCUACCAAGGCAACGAUGGUUAGCUGGUCUGAGAGGAUGAUCAGCCACACUGGAACUGACACACGGUCCAGACUCCUACGGGAGGCAGCAGUGAGGAAUUUUGCGCAAUGGGGGAAACCCUGACGCAGCAACGCCGCGUGAGUGAUGAAGGCCUUCGGGUCGUAAAACUCUGUCAAGUGGGAAGAACCUACGUAAGGAUAAUACCCUUAUGUACUGACGGUACCACUGAAGGAAGCACCGGCUAACUCCGUGCCAGCAGCCGCGGUAAUACGGAGGGUGCGAGCGUUAUUCGGAAUUAUUGGGCGUAAAGGGCGCGUAGGCGGUUUUGUAAGUCAGAUGUGAAAGCCCGGGGCUCAACCCCGGAAGUGCAUUUGAUACUGCAAGACUUGAGUAUGGGAGGGGGAAGUGGAAUUCCUGGUGUAGAGGUGAAAUUCGUAGAUAUCAGGAGGAACACCAGUGGCGAAGGCGACUUCCUGGACCAAUACUGACGCUGAUGCGCGAAGGCGUGGGGAGCAAACAGGAUUAGAUACCCUAGUAGUCC
rnacentral:rRNA from 1 species